rnacentral:rRNA from 1 species
UACGAAGGGGGCAAGCGUUGUCCGGAUUUAUUGGGCGUAAAGAGCGUGUAGGCGGUUAGGUAGGUCCGUUGUGAAAACUCGAGGCUCAACCUUGAGACGCCGAUGGAAACCAUCUGACUAGAGUCCGGAAGAGGAGAGUGGAAUUCCUGGUGUAGCGGUGAAAUGCGCAGAUAUCAGGAAGAACACCCGUGGCUAAGGCGGCUCUCUAGUACGUGACUGACGCUGAGACGCGAAAGCGUGGGGAGCGAACAGG